CUUAUUUGGAGCCUCAGCUCCCCGACCAGAUUCACCACCGCUAGCCUUCGGCUGUUCUUCUCUUGGAGGUUCUGGCUGACUCACUUUGCUGUUUUCCGCUGCAGCUGAGUCUGCGCUUCUGGGCACUUCCGCUGGCUUAUUUGGAGGCUCAGCUCCCCGACCGAAUUCGCCACCA